rnacentral:piRNA from 1 species
UCCUAUGGUCUAACCAACCAGUUGAGGCCUG